AAGACUAUAUUUCUAGGAUCAUUUCUAUAGUUCAUUACUAGAGAAGUUUCUUUGACUGUGUAGAGCACCCGAGACCAAGAAGAUGAGAUAUAGUGUUCCCUCAAAAAGAAGAAAAAAAAAAGCGAACUAUGCUAGCACACGCUUAUAAUUUCAGUGCUGUGGAGGUGAAGACAGGAGGCUAUCUGGCGUUCCCUCACCAGCCUAGUCUACUUGGU